UGGGGCUCAGCCCAGUCUGUGGCACGGGUCCCUGGGCCGGCUCUCCAGGGUCGGUGCGUAGCAGGCGCGGAGCCCGAGUGGGCGGCGGCAGCGGCUCGGGGCGCCCACGGCAGAGGCUCCUUCCGGGAACCGAGCUCUCGGGGGUGCGGCGCAGACCCAGGCCAGCCCUAGAUACAGUUACCAGGCGCCAGCACAGGCCCGCAACGAAUUCUCCGGGAGGUGGGCGUGCUGCAGGAGGAGAGAUCUGACUCGCGACCCGAUUCCUCCCGAGCAUCUGUAGGGCAAAUGAGGAGAGCAGCAGAGCCCAGGACGUGGGCCCGAGGACACGGACGUCCCCUACACCCCGUAUCGUAAGGAUGCUGAAAGGCAGCGGGUGAGGAGUGAGGGAAUUGUCCAGCCACUUAAAAAUGAGGUUUGGACCGGAGCCUGGGUCUCCUGCGCAUUCCCACCCCAGGGCUUUCUGUUGCACCAUGCUGCUUCUGUGUGUCUCUGCCAUGCUUGCGCUGAUAGGGUGGCCAGACGGUAGGUCCUCCAUAGAUCGUGACUGCCUGGAAGGUCGUUUCCUUGCUUGUCCUGGAGUAAGUUUCCAAUGGUCACCUGGACCAUCUUUCCCCUGGGGCCUCAUGGGAGGGAGUUCUGGUCAUUAAAGCGGCACUCUCCUUCCAGUAGGACACUGUCCUUUCCGUUUAUAAAGCACAUCGUGUGGAUUCAAGGGAAGAGGAAAUGAAGAUGAGAUGCACAGCUUAAAAGUACCACCUUCUCCCUGAGAAUCUUGCCCUGGGACACCCCUCCCAGAGAUCCUGCCCUCAGGCCAACUACAGAAGGCAGGAUUGAAUGGGACCAAAACAGUGCAGAGAAAAGAGGAGACAGACUUGCUGUUGAUGGGCCUCACAGUUUUCCUGAGCAACAACAGCCUUGUGUGGUAGCCAAUGUAUGUCCGGGUGCUAAUGACAUCCAUA